GUAUUAAUGCCAUGCACCCAAAGACAAGAAAAAUUCUGCAGCUCUUGCGUUUGAGACAGAUAUUUAAUGGUGUGUUUCUGAAGGUCAAUAAGGCCACUCAACAUGCUGCAUAGGGUUGAGCCCUACGUGACAUAUGGGUUGGACUGAUGCUUUCGGGAAUGGGAGCUAACUCUGAUGUUUUCAGAAUGGAUUUUAGUCAAUUGUGCCUAAAUUUAGGCUAACAAGCACUUCAGCCUUUUGACGCCAGUCGUGCUAGGAGUAUGCCAUAUAGAGGAUUUGUUUAUUUAUUUAUUUAUAAUUCAAGACCAUUUUCAAUUUAUUGUAAUAAAUAUUAUAUAUAUAUAUAUAUAUAUAUAUAUAUAUAUAUAUAUAUAUAUAUAUAUAU